AAGGAGCAUAUAGCCGACUGCGAUCGAAUGAAUCGCACGGUUGCUCAUGGGUGGAACGUUGAUUAUUUGGCACGGUUUCCAGAACAUCCUGUAAGUACUGCUUCGGCGUGGAAAACCAGUGAUAGUCGAGGGGAUCGUGGGGCACGCUGUUGGGUAUCUGAGGGUACGGCCGUAAGGUCUUAUCUUCGCGAUGCCGGCCCCAGUAAAAACUCUCGUUCGGCAGGGUGUGAUGGGUGGCUGGUCGUUGCUUGAGAACCACACAGUGGACGCGAGCAUCUGU
rnacentral:misc_RNA from 1 species